AUUGAACGCUGGCGGCAGGCCUAACACAUGCAAGUCGAACGAGUGGCGGACGGGUGAGUAAUGUCUGGGAAACUGCCUGAUGGAGGGGGCUAACUACUGGAAACGGUAGCUAAUACCGCAUACCCUCAGAUGUGCCCAGAUUGGAUUAGCUAGUGGGGGGGGUAACGGCUCACGAAGGCGACGAUCCCUAGCUGGUCUGAGAGGAUGACCAGGCAAACGGGAACUGAGACACGGUCCAGACUCCUACGGGAGGCAGCAGUGGGGAAUAUUGCACAAUGGGCGCAAGCCUGAUGCAGCCAUGCCGCGUGUAUGAAGAAGGCGUUCGGGUUGGAAAGUACUUUCAGCGGGGAGGCGUUACCCGCAGAAGAAGCACCGGCUAACUCCGUGCCAGCAGCCGCGGUAAUUC
rnacentral:rRNA from 1 species